rnacentral:rRNA from 1 species
GUAAAGCACUUUCAGUUGUGAGGAAGGUGGUGUCGUUAAUAGCGGCAUCAUUUGACGUUAGCAACAGAAGAAAGCACCGGCUAACUCCGUGCCAGCAGCCGCGGUAAUACGGAGGUGCGAGCGUUAAUCGGAAUUACUGGGCGUAAAGCGCAUGCAGGUGGUUUGUUAAGUCAGAUGUGAAAGACCCGGGGCUCAACCUCGGAAUUGCAUUUGAAACUAGGCAGACUAGAGUACUGUAGAGGGGGGUAGGAAUUUCAGGUGUAGCGGUGAAAUGCGUAGAGAUCUGAAGGAAUACCGGUGGCGAAGGCGGCCCCCUCGGACAGAUACUGACACUCAGAUGCGAAAGCGUGGGGAGCAAACAGGUUUAGAUACCCUGGUAG